rnacentral:rRNA from 1 species
GGAGGAAAAGAAACUAACAAGGAUUCCCCUAGUAACUGCGAGUGAAGCGGGAAAAGCUCAAAUUUAAAAUCUGGUGGUCUUCGGCCAUCCGAGUUGUAAUCUAGAGAAGUGUUACCCGCGUCGGACCGUGUACAAGUCUCCUGGAAUGGAGCGUCAUAGAGGGUGAGAAUCCCGUCUUUGACACGGACUACCGAGGCUUUGUGGUGCGCUCUCAAAGAGUCGAGUUGUUUGGGAAUGCAGCUCAAAAUGGGUGGUAAAUUCCAUCUAAAGCUAAAUAUUGGCGAGAGACCGAUAGCGAACAAGUACCGUGAGGGAAAGAUGAAAAGAACUUUGGAAAGAGAGUUAAACAGUACGUGAAAUUGCUAAAAGGGAAACGCUUGAAGUCAGUCGCGUUGGCCGGAAAUCAGCCUUGCUUUUGUGAGGUGUACUUUCUGGUUGACGGGCCAGCAUCAGUUUUGACCGGUGGAAAAAGUCCAGGGGAAUGUGGCAUCUUCGGAUGUGUUAUAGCCCUUGGUCGUAUACAUCGGUUGGGACUGAGGAACUCAGCACGCCGCAAGGCCGGGUCUUUGACCACGUUCGUGCUUAGGAUGCUGGCAUAAUGGCUUUAAUCGACCCGUCUUGAAACACGGACCAAGGAGUCUAACAUGCCUGCGAGUGUUUGGGUGGAAAACCCGGACGCGUAAUGAAAGUGAAAGUUGAGAUCCUUGUCAUGGGGAGCAUCGACGCCCGGACCAGAAGUUUUCUGACGGCCCUGCGGUAGAGCAUGUAUGUUGGGACCCGAAAGAUGGUGAACUAUGCCUGAAUAGGGUGAAGCCAGAGGAAACUCUGGUGGAGGCUCGUAGCGAUUCUGACGUGCAAAUCGAUCGUCAAAUUUGGGUAUAGGGGCGAAAGACUAAUCGAACCAUCUA